GGUCGAUUAGCUUAGUUGGUAGAGCGUGGUACUAAUACAACAUGUGUCAAUGCCAAGGUCAUGGGUUCGAGCCCCAUAUGGACCA
rnacentral:tRNA from 1 species